AUUGAACGCUGGCGGCAGGCCUAACACAUGCAAGUCGAGCGGAUGAAGGGAGCUUGCUCCUGGAUUCAGCGGCGGACGGGUGAGUAAUGCCUAGGAAUCUGCCUGGUAGUGGGGGAUAACGUCCGGAAACGGGCGCUAAUACCGCAUACGUCCUGAGGGAGAAAGUGGGGGAUCUUCGGACCUCACGCUAUCAGAUGAGCCUAGGUCGGAUUAGCUAGUUGGUGGGGUAAAGGCCUACCAAGGCGACGAGCCGUAACUGGUCUGAGAGGAUGAUCAGUCACACUCGAACUCAGACACGCUCCAGACUCCUACGGGAGGCACCAGUGGGGAAUAUUGUGCAAUGGGGGGAAACCUGAUCCAGCCACGCGCCGUGUGUGAAGAAGAUCUUCUGAUUGUAAAGCACUUUUAGUGGUGAGGAAAAGAAGUAAAAUAAAACGUUGCUGUUUUGACAUUACCAAAACAGUAAGCGCCGGCUAACUUCUUG
rnacentral:rRNA from 1 species